ACUGUGGUGGAUUCUGUUGUAAGAGAAAAACGGUCAUUAUAGGGAAUGAUAAUGAAGUGAUGGUAUCUUACCAGAAAGCCACGGCUAACUACGUGCCAGCAGCCGCGGUAAUACGUAGGUGGCAAGCGUUAUCCGGAAUGAUUGGGCGUAAAGGGUGCGCAGGCGGUCCAGAAAGUCUGUAGUAAAAGGCAUUGGCUCAACCAAUGUAUGCUGUGGAAACUGAUGGACUAGAGUGCAGGAGAGGGCAGUGGAAUUCCAUGUGUAGCGGUAAAAUGCGUAGAUAUAUGGAGGAACACCGGUGGCGAAGGCGGCUGCCUGGCCUGUAACUGACGCUGAGGCACGAAAGCGUGGGGAGCAAAUAGGAUUAGAUACCCUAGUAGUCCACGCUGUAAACGAUGAGAACUAAGUGUUGGAGAAAGACUUCAGUGCUGCAGUUAACGCAAUAAGUUCUCCGCCUGGGGAGUAUGCACGCAAGUGUGAAACUCAAAGGAAUUGACGGGGGCCCGCACAAGCGGUGGAGUAUGUGGUUUAAUUCGAAGCAACGCGAAGAACCUUACCAGGUCUUGACAUGGCGCUAAAGGCCCUAGAGAUAGGGAGAUAGGCAUAGCGCACACAGGUGGUGCAUGGUUGUCGUCAGCUCGUGUCGUGAGAUGUUGGGUUAAGUCCCGCAACGAGCGCAACCCUUAUCGCAUGUUACCAACAGUAAGAUGGGGACUCAUGUGAGACUGCCGGUGACAAACCGGAGGAAGGCGGGGAUGACGUCAAAUCAUCAUGCCCCUUAUGGGCCUGGGCGACACACGUACUACAAUGGCGACUACAGAGAAAAGCGAGACUGA
rnacentral:rRNA from 1 species